rnacentral:lncRNA from 1 species
AGCGGGGAUGAGCUGUGGAAGCGGGUUUCGUGAAUCAAGUCCCUCUUGCAAUCCUCUCGGCCUGCUCCCUGUAGGAAGUCAUCCUGCCAACUGAGUUUUAAAUCAGGGCUCAUUAGCCAGCUGUUGCCAACCGUAUGUUACGGGGAUCAGUCCCCUGUGAGAUGAUGUUUUUCCACUGCCUGGGGUGACUGGCAGUUUGAAGGGGACCUUUGACCUCCUUGUAGCAUCUGGAUCGUUGUGGAGACCACAUCAGUGCAAAUCCUGCUUAGCUCAUCUUAGAGCAAAGAGCCAGGAGGACCCUGAUGCCCCCAGGGUGGUUGGGCAAGGAUGGCGUGGGGCCGAUGAUACCCAGACCUCCAGCCACCAGCCCUUGGCCUGUGCCUUCCAACCCAUUAGCCAUCUCUCAUGCUCCUUUCCAAGACACACAGCCUGCGAGUAGCGGCAAGGAGUGGUGGCUAGACGCUGAUCUGGACUUGGCGACAGAAAUGAUUUCCUGUUGUCGUUGUCUGAGUCUGAUUUUCACUGAUGGUGUUUUGUGGAUUUUUGUGGUGGUGGUGACGGUUGCUGAUGCUGCCGGUGGCCCCCAGAAUAAUGGAGCUUCUGGUCGCAUGGCUGUCGUGUAGGCAUUCCUCAGUUGUGCUCAGCCAAGUGGCUUGGGGAGGAUUGGGCUGUGAAUUGUCAGCAGCAACCCAUGUCCAGGCUUGUAUGUAAGUUUUGCUCUAGGAGGAGGUAAAUGGUGUGGGGUGGGGUGCUUUCACCUGGCUGCUUUCACCUCUCAGCUACUUGUAGAGGGAAGGAAGCCUUAGCUCGCAGGCCUGUAGGGCUGUGUUGCAGGCUGUGGGUUUUGGUGAGAUAUGCCAGAGGCUGAUUCUGCAGGGUCCCCAGAGCUGGAGGGAAUCGUGUGCUUGGGAUGGGGCUGUUCUGCCCCUGCACACGCAGGGGUUCUGCCAGCUUCCCGCAGAUGGCUGCUGGAGCCAGCAACUCCACUGAUUGGCUUUUCAUCAGAGGCCUCUAGGGGCCUCCCUUCUCCUUCUCGUCCCUGUGCUGCAAACUGCAGGCAGUGAUCAUGGCUGACCUUUGACUCCUUGACUCCGAGAUGCCCAGACCAAAGAAGCUGCUGUUCUUAGCAAGGUGUGCGCUGCAUUCCACGGACGGUGGGAGUCGGAGGGGCAGGGCUCGCCCCACAGCCAUCGGACACACAGCACCCCAAGGCCCAGAGCAGCCCGCCCUGUGCAGGCUUCUAAGGAUGUCAAAGAACAGAGUGCCCAACUCUCCUACCUUGGGCAGGACCUGGAACUCGGGAAAGCUCCCUGUCACAGGCUUGGUCAGCUCGGGGCCAGGUCCCAGCCUGAGCUGCCUCUGAAAUUUGAGGUGCACGACAGCGCCGGGAGUGAGCUUUGCUUGGUGACUGAAGUCAUGGAAUGGAAACUGUGAGGCCCGUGCCUGCUCUGGAAGAAACAGAUUUCCUGGAGAGGUCCCAGUGUCUCCCUCCAAAACCCUGCGACCGCUCCUUGGACUCUGCCAUUGUCUCCUGGUAGGGACCCUGCCGCCUUCAGCGCCGCCGCCGCCCAGGUCUGCGGGAGUCGGCUCGGUGGCUGCUGUUAGUCUCCUUUCUGCCCAAACAGUCCCUGGGUUCUUCACGCAACUCGUUCCAGGACUUCAGGUCAGAGAGCUCAGAGAGAACCAGUGCUUGGGGUUUGGGGCCUUGCAGGAUGGUGGGCCCGUGGCUGGCUUGAACCCAACGAGGGAAAGGCCCCGGGGCCCCCAUACUCAUCCGUGGGGACCUGCCUUGGGCAGCUACUCUUGGUGGGCUUCCCGGGUGUGGCCCUUAACCUCUGCCUACAGCACUGGGCUCUCGGGCUCCAUGUUCCAGCUGUUCACUCCUGCCUUUGGAUUGACUCUGCAUUUGACCCCUGACCCUGUGGCACAUUCCCACGGCCUCCUCACUCUGUAAGGAGAGAGCUGGGGAGAAAGGAGGCCUCGGCUCUGGACUGAGGUCAACUACACAGGGCUCGUUUCCCCCACACGUGCCCACUUCCAAAGACGCGGACGUCUGGUUUGAAGGCCGGUCCACACCAAGCCACCUCAACACCUCGGUUUAUGGAAAAUUUAUGGAAAAUUUCAGGCCUUGCUGCAGCUCCCUUCUAACUGCCGUCACAUACUUGCUGAAGCCCAGGGUGGGUGUCUUGAAUUCUUUGCCCAAAGAUGACCCAAAGGCCUAGAUAGCUUCACAGAGCUACAGCCCGGGAGAGGGUGGUGCCAGGCCGGGGUGGGGGGUGGGGCAGGAGCGUAUUUCUGGCCGGUGCCUCCUCACACAGGGGCAGCCUUCCUGAGGCCUGGCCCGCCUGCCCCAGAACCAGAGGAGAGCCAGGGCUGUGGUUUACUACUGCAAGGUGACGGCAGGCCUGCAAACAGACCGUCCCUAGGGACGCCGUGGGGGAAAUUUCACUCAAUUCAGUGCAAAAAUAUUGACUGCCGGCCGGCAGGGUGCCACAUCCGGGAACAGGGAAGUGGGAAGCUUCACCUUUCUGUCUUGGCUUUUCUCCAGGUUGUGGGAGGGGCAUCCAUUUCCGGGGUGGGGGGAGAAAUGCCAAAUGCAUUGUUGUUCUGCUUGGUACAUCUCACUUGUUUCUAAUAAAGGAAGCAGCUG